rnacentral:rRNA from 1 species
CGUUCCCGGACCUUCGUACACACCGCCCGUCAAGCGAUGGAAGCUGGGAGGACCUGAAGACAGUUGCUGUAAGGCGCUGUUUAGGGUAAAACCGGUGACUGGCGCU